rnacentral:lncRNA from 1 species
CUGGCUCAGUGUUUCAAACAUCAGUGAGACGUUAUGGUGGCAGCUGUCCUGUUUAUCAGAAAAUUGGACAUGCGACUCAUGUUAUUCAGAUGGCCUUUCUGGAGAUGACCCCGUGUUGACCCCAACAAGAGCGUGGGAUCUGCUGGAUUGAUGCUCGAGAUCUCUGCGCAAGGACCUCCUACUAGGAACGAUGUCUCUCCAGAAUUUUGCUUGGGAUUGAUGUCAGGCUGACUGGCCUGGACCACAUGAGGCCCUCUUCCAGUCCUCUGGAACCUCCCUCGUUUCCCAUGAUUUCAAGAAAAUAAUGGAUAGAGGUUCUGAGAGGUCUUCAGCUACUUCCUUCAGUCCUCUCAGAUGCAGUUCAUCCAGGCCUGGAGAGGAAAAUGAGAAAAUGUUUGGAAACAACUGAGCCUGAAGAAGGAAAGGAGAAGAAGGGAAACAAAAGAAUAAAUAAAUGGCAACAUAGAAGAAAUUGAAAAGC